GGUGAAAAGCACCCCGGAAGGGGAGUGAAAUAGAACCUGAAACCGUGUGCUUACAAGUAGUCAGAGCCCGUUAAUGGGUGAUGGCGUGCCUUUUGUAGAAUGAACCGGCGAGUUACGAUUUGAUGCAAGGUUAAGCAGUAAAUGUGGAGCCGUAGCGAAAGCGAGUCUGAAUAGGGCGUUUAGUAUUUGGUCGUAGACCCGAAACCAGGUGAUCUACCCUUGGUCAGGUUGAAGUUCAGGUAACACUGAAUGGAGGACCGAACCGACUUACGUUGAAAAGUGAGCGGAUGAACUGAGGGUAGCGGAGAAAUUCCAAUCGAACCUGGAGAUAGCUGGUUCUCUCCGAAAUAGCUUUAGGGCUAGCCUCAAGUGAUGAUUAUUGGAGGUAGAGCACUGUUUGGAC
rnacentral:rRNA from 1 species